UAGCCUGACAGAAAUUAAGAGAUUGUGAAAGACUAAGAUUACAAUUAUUCUUGUGGCAAUUGAUGCAGAGGACUU